rnacentral:lncRNA from 1 species
UUUCUCUUAUUUAACCUUUCCUCUUUCCUUUCUUUUCUCUCUUUCCCCUUUCUCUCAAACCCUAAUCUACUGGCGUUUUCAUUUGGAUCAAAGAAAUGCAGAAUAUCUGAUCCAAGAACUCAAAAUCAAUUCUUUUUUCUUUUUUUUUUACAGCCCCAGAUAUUUUUUUAUAUAUUUUCCGAGUGCAAGCUUGUGGUGUAAGAAAGUGAACUUGAUGAGCUAACUCCAUUGUUUAGAUCAUCUAUCAUAAGAACUUUCAAGAUAUAUAUUGGUAUUUUUUUAAAUCUUUUCUCGAAUCUAUUAUACUGCUUUUUAUUUGUAUUUUGUUUUCUUGGGC